rnacentral:rRNA from 1 species
AUGGCGCAGCUCCCGCCCAAGAUCCCGACCGGGGCGCACCACUGGCCCGGCGCCGGCGUGGAGCACCACGGCCACGCGCCCGCCGCGGUGUGGGCGGACGAGUUCGCCGAGUUCGCGGCGGCGCGCCGGGGCGCGCACCGCAGGUCGCUCAGCGACUCGGUGGCCUUCGUGGAGAUGGCGCCGGGGGGCUGCGGCGGGGCCGGCGACUUCGACAGGCUCGACGACGACCAGCUCAUGUCCAUGUUCCCCGACGAGGGCGGGUCCACGGCCCCGGGGUCCGAGAAGAGCGACAGCGACGGCGACAAGCACGGCAAGGACCGGUACGACGACGGGCACAACGACGAUGCUAACCCGGAGGAGCCGGGGCCGGGGCAUGCCACGCCGACCUCGUCCACGGAGACGAUCCGCGACCCCAAGAGGGUCAAGAGGUGCGCACGCAAUGCCAAUGCAUGCAUGCAUGGAUGCGAUUCCUUGAUUAAUGUGUUGAUUAUCAAGCUCGAUCUCCAUGGACCGACCGAAUUAUGUGUUUCCAGGAUACUGGCUAAUCGUCAGUCGGCUCAGAGAUCUCGGGUGAGGAAGCUGCAGUACAUCUCCGAGCUCGAGCGGUGCGUCACAACGCUGCAGAACGAGGUGUCCGUGCUGUCUCCUCGGGUGGCGUUUCUGGAUCAGCAGCGGACGAUCCUCACCGUCGGCAACAGCCACCUCAAGCAGCGGAUCGCAGCUCUGGCGCAGGACAAGCUUUUCAAGGACGCUCAUCAAGAGGCGCUGAAGGAGGAGAUCGAGAGGCUGCGGCAGGUGUACCAGCAGCAGAACCUCAGGAUGUCGUCCGGUGCGGGCGCGGCCUCCGACCACGGCGGGCCGCCCCCGGUGCGCGCGGAGAAGGAGCUCAUGAGCUGA